rnacentral:rRNA from 1 species
GACAGAGGGUGCAAACGUUGCUCGGAAUCACUGGGCGUAAAGGGUGCGUAGGCGGCGCGGUAAGUCGGGUGUGAAAUCUCGGAGCUUAACUCCGAAACUGCAUUCGAUACUGCCGUGCUUGAGGACUGGAGAGGAGACUGGAAUUUACGGUGUAGCGGUGAAAUGCGUAGAUAUCGUAAGGAAGACCAGUGGCGAAGGCGGGUCUCUGGGCAGUAACUGACGCUGAGGCGCGAAAGCUAGGGGAGCAAACGGG